UACGUAGGGUGCAAGCGUUGUCCGGAAUUACUGGGCGUAAAGAGCUCGUAGGCGGUUUGUCGCGUCUGCUGUGAAAACUCGGGGCUUAACCCCGGGCCUGCAGUGGGUACGGGCAGACUAGAGUGCGGUAGGGGAGACUGGAAUUCCUGGUGUAGCGGUGAAAUGCGCAGAUAUCAGGAGGAACACCGGUGGCGAAGGCGGGUCUCUGGGCCGUAACUGACGCUGAGGAGCGAAAGCGUGGGGAGCGAACAGG
rnacentral:rRNA from 1 species